rnacentral:lncRNA from 1 species
GUCAUGUACCACUCAAACCCAACAAUCCUUUCUUUCUCUCUCGUUCAUUUGCGUUUCCAGAUCCCCUUCUCCAUGCUUCUUCUUCUCUGAUAAUCUUCUUCUUCAUUUCUCUCAAUUUCUUCUAUGUUUUCAGUUCUGUGUUCCUUUCUAAAGACUGAUUUUAAAUGUCACAUGUAUCUCUUCCUAUUCUAUCAAUUCUCAUAAACUCAUUCAACCCUUCAUCUUCUCCAAUCCACAUUUCAUCUUGCCAUGAUUAAAAAUUAUUUAAUCUUUUUAUUAUUUUUGUUUUUUUUUUCUUAUUUUUAUGCAUAGAUUCAUAUCUUUAUUUUGUUUUUAUUUUUAUGCAUAUAUUAUUAAUAGAGUAAAAUUACAAUGAUAGAUGUA